rnacentral:rRNA from 2 species
GGUUGCGAUCAUACCAGCACUAAUGCACCGGAUCCCAUCAGAACUCCGCAAUUAAGCGUGCUUGGGCGAGAGUAGUACUAGGAUGGGUGACCCCCUGGGAAAUCCUCGUGUUGCAACCG